AACGAACGCUGGCGGCAUGCCUAACACAUGCAAGUCGAACGAUGCCUUCGGGCAUAGUGGCGCACGGGUGCGUAACGCGUGGGAAUCUGCCUUUCGGUUCGGAAUAACUCAGGGAAACUUGAGCUAAUACCGGAUAACGUCGCAAGACCAAAGAUUUAUCACCGAAAGAUGAGCCCGCGUAGGAUUAGCUAGUUGGUGAGGUAAAGGCUCACCAAGGCGACGAUCCUUAGCUGGUCUGAGAGGAUGAUCAGCCACACUGGGACUGAGACACGGCCCAGACCCCGAGGGGGAGAAGCGGUGGGGAAUAGGGAAAAGGGGGGGAAGGCCUAACCCAGAAUUCCGGGGGGAGUAAGGAAGGCGUUGGGGUUGAAAGGUUUUUUUACCGGGAAAAAAAAGGGGGGGACGGGGGAAAAAGGCCCCGGCAACCCCCGUG
rnacentral:rRNA from 1 species